rnacentral:tRNA from 1 species
UAAUGCGUAGCUUAAUUGGUAGAGCAAUUGGCUUUUAACCAAUUUGUUAUGAGUUCAAAUCUCAUCGCAUUAA